rnacentral:rRNA from 1 species
AACGAACGCUGGCGGCGCGCCUAAUACAUGCAAGUCGAGCGAGAAGACGUAGCAAUACGUUUGUAAAGCGGCGAACGGGUGAGGAAUACAUGGGUAACCUACCCUCGAGUGGGGAAUAACUAGCCGAAAGGUUAGCUAAUACCGCGUACGCUCCUUGGACUUCGGUUCAGGGAGGAAAGCGAUACCGUGGGUAUCGCGCUCUUGGAUGGGCUCAUGUCCUAUCAGCUUGUUGGUGAGGUAACGGCUCACCAAGGCUUCGACGGGUAGCUGGUCUGAGAGGACGAUCAGCCACACUGGCACUGCGACACGGGCCAGACUCCUACGGGAGGCAGCAGUAAGGAAUAUUGCGCAGUGGGCGAAAGCCUGACGCAGCGACGCCGCGUGGGGGAUGAAGGUCUUCGGAUUGUAAACCCCUUU